CAGUUCGGCGGAUCAUCACAGAUUAUAGUUGUGUUUCAAUGAAGACCAUUGCCUGUCAUUUUCCCGAGGCUUCUUUGAAAACAGGCAUCAAAGGCCACAAGACUGAAAUGAGCGACCAUCAAGAAAAAGACUGCAAACACAGAAAGACCGCUAACUCAAAAUCUCAGCAAAUUAAGCAACAUUCCCUGAAUCAAGGCCCUCAUCAUUGUCAAAAGUUACAUCAUUCAGAUGAUAAUGCUAGCUAUGACACCCAUCUAGUGUUGGAAGGCAUUUUUAGUGAUCAUCAACCCGACCAUCAACGGCAGCGGGAUAAUGACAAGACUCAUCAUCCUCACCGCAGCCAUCACGAGCAAAACCAUCGGCAUGCUUCUCUUUCAGAAAGUCUCCUGAGUUUCUCAACUGUUUCCUCUUCAUCCUCCUUCUCUUCUUCUUCUUCUUUUUCUUCCUCGUCUUCUUCU